rnacentral:lncRNA from 1 species
UUAAUCACAUAAAUGUUUUCCCUAGUCCUGCACAUGUCUGCUUGACAGCACUGCCUCAAGAGCCCUGGAGUUUUCCAGCCAGCUGGGCUCGGAGCAAGGACAGUGGAUACUUGACAGUGCACACUGAGAGUGGCCUUCCCAGCCUCUUCAGUCAGUCCCAAACAAGAUUUGAAUACAAGCUGCUGUGGUUUUAAUUAGGUAAGCAGGGUCUGGAUAGCUUGCACGUGAUACCCAUAUAAAACAUCUUAUUUUCUCAUUCUCAGCAGUGAUUCCAACAAAGCUGCUUUGCUGUGGGAGAAAAGGGAAAUUCUUCAUGUCACCAAAACAUCCCAGGAUCCAAAGAUGAGGGAGAACCUAUUGCAAUACCAGCUCAGAUGUUUUUGGAGUGAAGUUCAGCUGAAUGGGAGCCCAGACAGCUUCAGUGGAGCCAGGUGACAACCAAGACAUACCCACAAACUGGGAAUUCCAGAGCACCCUUCAAACAUUACAGGCUCAG